CAUAGAAAUUCACCUGUAGCAUCAGUCUCAAGGUAGACAGCAUUAUCCAGGAUCCAUUCUCCAGGAUCCCUCUCUCCCUCUUUCUCUCACCGAAAAGAACAUAAUCCAGAGCCGUCAUGUCUUCCAGUUUCUCUUUGCGGAGCUUCUCUGUGGGCCGCCAACCCUCCUUCUCUAGUCUAUCUCUGAGAGACAGUGGCCGUGCCCACUCCAGAGCCGCUGUGUCCUUUGCCUCCGCCAGCCCCCUGACCCGCUCUGCAUCCGUCAGCCGCGACAUGAGCGGCCAGCCUGUCACCUUGAACCUCAAUGGGCAGCUGGGUAACCAUACCAACGAGAAAGAGGCAAUGCAAGGCCUCAACAACCGCUUGGCCAUUUACCUGGACAAGGUGCGCUCACUGGAGAAAUCCAAUUCAGAUCUGGAGCUGCGGAUCAAGCAGAUAAUGAUUGAGCGCAUCCCUGAAGGUCACGACUUCAAAACCAUGAUGGCCCAGGCCCACCAGGUGGAACAGGAGGUGAGGAGGAAGACACUGGAGAACGCUCGUCUCAUGCUGGAGAUUGACAAUGCUAAACUUGCAGCUGACGACUUCCGGAUUAAGUGGGAGACAGAGAUGUCCAUGUCCCAGUCUGUGGAGAGGGACUGCUUGGCCCUGAAGAAGGCCAAGGUGGACCAUGAGCAGAUCAUCAUGUCCCACAGAGGAGACCUGGACAGCCUGAAGGAAGAUCUCUACUUUCUGAAGAAGAACCAUGAGGAGGAGGUGGAGUCUAUGAAGGGCCACGUCGCGGCUCAGACUGUUAACGUGGAGGUGGACUCGGGCCGUGGAGGACCUGACCUGGGGACAGUUAUAUCAGAGCUCAGGACUCGGUACGAGGGCAUCGUCAAGAAGAACAAGGACCAGGCUGAGCUGUGGUACCUCAAGAAGUUGGACACGGUGCAGAACGAGGUGAAGGAGUCUAACGAGGCUCUGAGGGGAGCUCAGAGUGAGCUGGUAGAGAGACGACGCUUCCUACAGACCCUGGAGGUAGAGCUGGAGAGUCUGUACAAACAGGUGGCAGCUCUGGAGGGUAACCUCAGCGAGACAGGUCAGAAGUACAGCCUGGAGAUGGAGCGCCUGCAGGCCACGCUGUCCCAGCUGGAGGAGGACCUGUCUCAGCUGCGUCUGGACAUGCAGCGCAACAAGACAGACUACGAACAGCUGCUGCGCAUCAAGCAGAACCUGGAGAUGGAGAUUGCAACCUACAGAAGACUACUGGAGGGAGAGGAGACGUGAGUCACCAUGAUAAUAUAUGCCAUUUAGCAGUUAAGGGUGGAUACAUUUUUUACAUAUAGGUGGUCCUGGGAAUCGAACCCACUAUCCUGGAGUUGCAAGAGACCCAUGCUCUACCAAUUGAGCGACAUAACGUGAUUAUGCUACAGUGAGAAGUCGUUAAGGGAUGCUUAGUGAGUACUGUAUAUCCAGGCUGCAACGUGUGCGCUGGGAGUCGGGAAGCAAGUUCAGGGAGUGCAUCAUUUAAUAAACAAAACAAGAAACACGAACAAAGCAACAGACAGGAAACAGAAACAGAAACAAGGACACCUGGGGUAGGAAAAAAAGGGAGUGACAUAUAUAGGGCAGGUAAUCAAGGAGGUGAUGGAGUCCAGGUGAGUCUGAUGACGCGCAGGUGCUCGUCACGAUGGUGACAGGUGUGUCGCAGGACGCCAACCAAAGGGACAAUCCCGGGGAUCAGCCUGACGAACCGGCUGAGGCGCAAGAGCCGGAUGAGCCAGCUGAGACCUCCCCGGUUGCGUCUGUCGAGGCACGGGAACCUGUUCACCAGCUGAGGCGUAGGAGUCUAUCGAUCCAGCUGAGGGAGGGAGCACACGUGAACACAGGAUUAAAGAAGUUCCCCCACCAAAAA